CUCUAAUUGCUCACUUCCUCUGUUAUGUGGUCAUUGGUUUGUGGCCCAACACCAUGUAUGAUAUGUGGUUCAGGAGAAAUUGAAGGAGCCUUAUUGAAAUACUUGGGGGUUGAGCGCAAUGAGGUAACAAAGGACGGUUUGUUCUCUGUUGGAGAAAUGGAAUGUAUGGGAUGUUGUGUAAAUGCUCCUAUGAUUGC